rnacentral:rRNA from 1 species
UACGUAGGGUGCAAGCGUUGUCCGGAAUUAUUGGGCGUAAAGAGCUCGUAGGCGGUCUGUCGCGUCGGCUGUGAAAACCCGGGGCUCAACCCCGGGCCUGCAGUCGAUACGGGCAGACUAGAGUGUGGUAGGGGAGACUGGAAUUCCUGGUGUAGCGGUGAAAUGCGCAGAUAUCAGGAGGAACACCGGUGGCGAAGGCGGCUCUCUGGAACGGUACUGACGCUGAGACGCGAAAGCGUGGGGAGCGAACAGG